CCAUCGCGACCCCAGGUCAGGCGGGAGUACCCGCUGAGUUUAGC
rnacentral:rRNA from 1 species